GACGGAGGGGGCAAGCGUUAUCAGGAAUUAUUGGGCGUAAAGGGUACGUAGGCGGCUGGUCAAGUCUGGGGUCAAAGGCCACAGCUCAACUGUGGGAAGGCCCUGGAAACUGACCGGCUAGAGUGAGGUAGGGGUUGCGGGAAUUCCCGGUGUAGCGGUGAAAUGCGUAGAGAUCGGGAAGAACACCUGAGGCGGAAGCGCGCAACUGGGCCUCAACUGACGCUGAGGUACGAAAGCUAGGGGAGCGCAUGGG
rnacentral:rRNA from 1 species